UACGUAGGUGGCGAGCGUUAUCCGGAAUGAUUGGGCGUAAAGGGUGCGCAGGCGGAGGUGCAAGUCAGUGGUCAAAUUGCGGGGCUCAACCCCGUACUGCCGUUGAAACUGCAUCCCUUGAGUGCGCGAGAAGUAUGCGGAAUGCGUGGUGUAGCGGUGAAAUGCAUAGAUAUCACGCAGAACUCCGAUUGCGAAGGCAGCAUACCGGCGCGCAACUGACGCUCAUGCACGAAAGCGUGGGUAUCGAACAGG
rnacentral:rRNA from 1 species